rnacentral:rRNA from 1 species
GUGUCAGCCGCCGCGGUAAUACGGAGGGUGCAAGCGUUGUUCGGAAUCACUGGGCGUAAAGCGCGUGUAGGCGGCCUGCGAAGUCUGAUGUGAAAGCCCGGGGCUCACCCCCGGAAGUGCAUUGGAAACUGGCAGGCUGGAGUCCCGGAGAGGAGGGUGGAAUUCCUGGUGUAGCGGUGAAAUGCGUAGAUAUCAGGAGGAACACCGGUGGCGAAGGCGGCCCUCUGGACGGUGACUGACGCUGAGACGCGAAAGCGUGGGGAGCAAACAGGAUUAGAAACCCCCGUAGUCC